GAUGAACGCUGACAGAAUGCUUAACACAUGCAAGUCCACUUGAACUUCGGUUUGGGUGGCGGACGGGUGAGUAACGCGUAAAGAACUUGCCUCACAGCUAGGGACAACAUUUGGAAACGAAUGCUAAUACCUGAUAUUAUGAUUAUAUGGCAUCGUAUAAUUAUGAAAGCUAUAUGCGCUGUGAGAGAGCUUUGCGUCCCAUUAGCUAGUUGGAGAGGUAACAGCUCACCAAGGCGAUGAUGGGUAGCCGGCCUGAGAGGGUGAUCGGCCACAAGGGGACUGAGACACGGCCCUUACUCCUACGGGAGGCAGCAGGGGGGAAUAUUGGACAAGGGACCGAGAGUCUGGUCCAGCAAUUCUGUGUGCACGAUGAAGUUUUUCGGAAUGUAAAGUGCUUUCAGUUGGGAAGAAAAAAAUGACGGUACCAACAGAAGAAGUGACGGCUAAAUACGUG
rnacentral:rRNA from 1 species